GUCGAGGUGGCGAAAUUGGUAGACGCACUGCGCUUAGGACGCAGCGGGGUAACCCGUGGAGGUUCAAAUCCUCUCCUCGACACAA
rnacentral:tRNA from 2 species